rnacentral:rRNA from 1 species
AUUGAACGCUGGCGGCAGGCUUAACACAUGCAAGUCGAGCGGAAACGAUGAUAGCUUGCUAUCAGGCGUCGAGCGGCGGACGGGUGAGUAAUACUUAGGAAUCUACCUAGUAGUGGGGGAUAGCUCGGGGAAACUCGAAUUAAUACCGCAUACGACCUACGGGAGAAAGGGGGCAGUUUACUGCUCUCGCUAUUAGAUGAGCCUAAGUCGGAUUAGCUAGAUGGUGGGGUAAAGGCCUACCAUGGCGACGAUCUGUAGCUGGUCUGAGAGGAUGAUCAGCCACACCGGGACUGAGACACGGCCCGGACUCCUACGGGAGGCAGCAGUGGGGAAUAUUGGACAAUGGGGGAAACCCUGAUCCAGCCAUGCCGCGUGUGUGAAGAAGGCCUUUUGGUUGUAAAGCACUUUAAGCAGUGAAGAAGACUCUUCGGUUAAUACCCGGAGACGAUGACAUUAGCUGCAGAAUAAGCACCGGCUAACUCUGUG